rnacentral:sRNA from 1 species
AACAUUAUUUCUUUGACAAUGACCCUAUACCAAGUUCAUUUGAUCUUUUUGACUCUCAUCCAAUUAAUUCUCUCUU